AGAGUUUGAUUAUGGCUCAGGAUGAACGCUGGCGGCGUGCUUAACACAUGCAAGUCGAACGGACUUAUGAGAAAGCUUGCUUUUUAUAAGUAGUGGCGGACGGGUGAGUAACGCGUGGGUAACCUGCCGUAUGGCUGGGGGACAACAGUUGGAAACGACUGCUAAUACCGCAUAAGCGCACAGAGAGGCAUCUCUCAGUGUGAAAAAACUCCGGUGGCAUACGAUGGACCCGCGUCUGAUUAGGCAGUUGGCGAGGUAACGGCUCACCAAACCUACGAUCAGUAGCCGGCCUGAGAGGGUGAACGGCCACAUUGGGACUGAGACACGGCCCAAACUCCUACGGGAGGCAGCAGUGGGGAAUAUUGCACAAUGGGGGAAACCCUGAUGCAGCGACGCCGCGUGAGUGAAGAAGUAUUUCGGUAUGUAAAGCUCUAUCAGCAGGAAAGAAAAUGACGGUACCUGACUAAGAAGCCCCGGCUAACUACGUGCCAGCCGCGGC
rnacentral:rRNA from 1 species